rnacentral:rRNA from 1 species
CCUACGGGUGGCAGCAGUGAGGAAUAUUGGUCAAUGGACGGAAGUCUGAACCAGCCAUGCCGCGUGCAGGAAGACGGCUCUAUGAGUUGUAAACUGCUGUUGUACAAGGGAAAACCGGAAUACGUGUAUUCAGCUGAAAGAACUGUACGAAUAAGGAUCGGCUAACUCCGUGCCAGCAGCCGCGGUAAUACGGAGGAUCCAAGCGUUAUCCGGAUUUAUUGGGUUUAAAGGGUGCGUAGGCGGAUUGAUAAGUUAGAGGUGAAAUGUCCGAGCUUAACUCGGGAACUGCCUCUCAUACUGUUGAUCUUGAGCGUAGAUGCGGUAGGCGGCAUGUCUGGUGUAGCGGUGACAUGCUUAGAGAUCAUACAGAACACCGAUUGCGCAGGCAGCUUACCAAUCUAUAUCUGACGUUGCGGCACGAUCGCGUGGGGAGCAAACAGGAUUAGAUACCCGAGUAGUC